rnacentral:rRNA from 1 species
UACGAAGGGAGCUAGCGUUGUUCGGAAUCACUGGGCGUAAAGCGCACGUAGGCGGAUUUGUCAGUCAGGGGUGAAAUCCCGGGGCUCAACCUCGGAACUGCCUUUGAUACAGCAAGUCUUGAGUUCGAGAGAGGUGGGUGGAAUUCCUAGUGUAGAGGUGAAAUUCGUAGAUAUUAGGAAGAACACCGGUGGCGAAGGCGGCCCACUGGCUCGAUACUGACGCUGAGGUGCGAAAGCGUGGGGGAGCGAACAGG